ensembl:misc_RNA Metazoa_SRP Metazoan signal recognition particle RNA
GCCGGGCACCAUGGUGCGUGCAUAUAGUCCCAGCUACUCGGGAGGAUCGCCUGAGCCCAGGAGUUCUGGGCUGCAGUGUGCUAUGCGGAUUGGGUGUCCGCACUAAGUUCUGCUGCAUCAAUAUGGUGACUUCCCGGGAGCAGGGAACCACCAGGUUGCCUAAGGAGGGGUGAACUGGCCCACGUCGGAAAGAGAGUAGGUCAAAACUCCUGUGCUGAUCAGUAGUGGGAUCAUGCCUGUGAAUAGCCACUGCAUUCCAGCCUGGGCAACAUAGUGAGACCCCGUU